rnacentral:misc_RNA from 1 species
GGUUGGAUCAUUAAAAAAUCCAAGGCGAGAGUCUUUACCGACGUCUCUGCCUUAAACUGGCCUUUGGGCCUUUAACCCACUGUGAACUGUUUAUUGACUCUGGUUAAUGCGUAUGCACUAGCCAGUAUCAACUUUUUUAACCUGAUUUUUAUCGUCUUACUUUAAAGAUUUAAUCUUUACAACUUUUGACAAUGGAUCUCUAGGCUCUCGCAACGAUGAAGAACGCAGCGAAAUGCGAUACGUAAUGUGAAUUGCAGCACUCGUGAAUCAUCGAAUCUUUGAACGCAUAUUGCGCCUAGUGGUAUUCCGCUAGGCAUGCCUGUUUGAGAAUCAUUUUAACCUAUCACCUUAUGGUGGAUUUGGGCGCUCACACUGCAAAGUGCGUCGCCUUAAAGAAAUAGUUCUGCCUUGGGUUCUUGAUGGAUCUCUGCAACGCUUUAUCAAUUGUAGCUUCGGCUGCAUUUAUCGCCUAGCAGUUGUCCGCUUGUCAAGUCUCCGUCUAGGUUGACUCAAUUAAACAACGGCCUUUAAACCACCGUUGACUUUAUCCAAGACGGUAGUAACCGUAGGUCUCUAGUAGACGAACGCGUUACCCGACUUUGAUUACUUGGUCUCAAAUCAGGCAAGAGUACCCGCUGAACUUAAGCAUAUCAAUAAGCGGAGGAAAAGAAACUAACAAGGAUUCCCUUAGUAACGGCGAGUGAAGCGGGAAUAGCUCAAAUUUGAAAUCUCACUGGUUUCCAGUGCGAAUUGUAGUUUAGAGAAGUGUUUUCGGUGGUGAGCCAGGUAUAAGUCCUCUGGAACGAGGCAUCGUAGAGGGUGACAAUCCCGUCUUAGGCCUGGAAUUCACUGCUAUGUGAUACACUUUCAAAGAGUCGGGUUGUUUGGGAAUGCAGCCCAAAAUGGGUGGUAAAUACCAUCUAAAGCUAAAUAACGGCGAGAGACCGAUAGCGAACAAGUACCGUGAGGGAAAGAUGAAAAGAACUUUGAAAAGAGAGUUAAACAGUACGUGAAAUUGUCAAAAGGGAAACGCUUGAAACCAGUAUUGCGGGUAAGAAAUCAGUCGUUGCCUAAGGGGAACGGUGCACUUUCUUACUAGCAAGUCAACAUCAGUUUGACUUUGAGGAAAAAGCUUGCGGAAUGUAGCCUUCGGGUGUUAUAGACGCAAGUUCUACUCUGGGUUGGACUGAGGUUCGCAGUGCAGUCUUGGGUUCCUAGUCGCCUUGGAAGUAGUAUGUGCAGACAGCUUGCUGAUUGUAUGUGCUAUGCCCAAGCUCGGUUAGUUCUGCCACAUCUGUGCUUAGGAUGUUGACGAAAUGGUUUUAAACGACCCGUCUUGAAACACGGACCAAGGAGUCUAACAUAUAUGCGAGUAUUCGGGUGGCAAACCCGUAUGCGUAAUGAAAGUGAUAAGGUGGGAUCUUCGGUGCACCAUCGACCGGUCUGGAUACUUGUUUGAAAGAUCUGAGUAAGAGCAUAUCUGUUGGGACCCGAAAGAUGGUGAACUAUGCCUGAAUAGGGUGAAGCCAGAGGAAACUCUGGUGGAGGCUAGUAGCGAUUCUGACGUGCAAAUCGAUCGUCAAAUUUGGGUAUAGGGGCGAAAGACUAAUCGAACCAUCUAGUAGCUGGUUCCCUC